UGCUCCUGUAGCCCAAUUGGUAGUAGGCGGCAGAUUUAAAAUCUGUUUUUUUGUGAGGGUUCGAGUCCCUCCAGGAGCAU
rnacentral:tRNA from 1 species